UACGUAGGGUGCAAGCGUUGUCCGGAAUUAUUGGGCGUAAAGAGCUCGUAGGCGGUCUGUUGCGUCGACUGUGAAAACCCGGGGCUCAACUCCGGGCCUGCAGCCGAUACGGGCAGACUAGAGUUCGGCAGGGGAGACUGGAAUUCCUGGUGUAGCGGUGAAAUGCGCAGAUAUCAGGAGGAACACCGGUGGCGAAGGCGCUCAUCUGGCCCAAUACUGACGCUGAUGCGCGAAAGCUAGGGGAGCAAACGGG
rnacentral:rRNA from 1 species